rnacentral:tRNA from 1 species
AACAAUAUAGUUUAAUUGAAAAAUAUUGAGUUUGCGUCUCGAAGAUGGAUAGUAUUUUCUUUUGUUA